rnacentral:tRNA from 1 species
AAGAAUUUAAGUUAAAAAAACUCCAAGCCUUCAAAGCUUAAAUUAUGUCUUAUCAUAAUUCUUG